rnacentral:lncRNA from 1 species
CAGAGGAUUUGACAACUGUACCCACUACGGACAAGACAACAGUCACAACCACACCAUCAGAGGAUUUGACAACUGUACCUACUACGGACAAGACAACAGUCACAACCACACCAUCAGAGGAUUUGACAACUGUACCCACUACGGACAAGACAGCAGUCAC